UACGAAGGGGGCUAGCGUUGCUCGGAAUGACUGGGCGUAAAGGGCGCGUAGGCGGCGUGUCAAGUCAAUUGUGAAAUCUCCGGGCUUAACUCGGAACGGUCAAUUGAUACUGAUGUGCUAGAGUGCAGAAGGGGCAAUCGGAAUUCUUGGUGUAGCGGUGAAAUGCGUAGAUAUCAAGAGGAACACCUGAGGUGAAGACGGGUUGCUGGGCUGACACUGACGCUGAGGCGCGAAAGCUAGGGUAGCAAACGGG
rnacentral:rRNA from 1 species